GUGGGGAAUAUUGGACAAUGGGCGAAAGCCUGAUCCAGCCAUGCCGCGUGUGUGAAGAAGGUCUUCGGAUUGUAAAGCACUUUAAGUUGGGAGGAAGGGCAGUAAGUUAAUACCUUGCUGUUUUGACGUUACCGACAGAAUAAGCACCGGCUAACUUCGUGCCAGCAGCCGCGGUAAUACGAAGGGUGCUAGCGUUAAUCGGAAUUACUGGGCGUAAAGCGCGCGUAGGUGGUUUUGUAAGUUGGAGGUGAAAUCCCCGGGCUCAACCUGGGAACUGCCUCCAAAACUGCAUGACUAGAGUACGGUAGAGGGUAGUGGAAUUUCCUGUGUAGCGGUGAAAUGCGUAGAUAUAGGAAGGAACACCAGUGGCGAAGGCGACUACCUGGACUGAUACUGACACUGAGGUGCGAAAGCGUGGGGAGCAAACAGGAUUAGAAACCCCGGUAGUCC
rnacentral:rRNA from 1 species